UCCCUGGUGGCUCAGACGGUAAAGCGUCCGCCUACAAUGUGGGAGACCUGGGUUCGAUCCCCGGGUUGGGAA
rfam:TPA: Bos taurus chromosome 23, whole genome shotgun sequence.